rnacentral:lncRNA from 1 species
UAAGUUGCUGUUGCUGCACAGUUCAAAAUCUGGACAGUUCUAGUUAGUUCCUACUUUUCAGCCAACUUAGCAUCAGAAUCUGGAAAAGUGUGAUAUACAGAAGUUGUGGAGGACUUCAUAAGCUUUUCAACCAUGUAAGGCUCGUUCCCAUAUGAUCUAAGUAACUCGAGAUUGCAAGUUGCUGCACCGAUGCUGAGACAUUGUCGG